CCUACGGGUGGCUGCAGUGAGGAAUAUUGGUCAAUGGGCGAGAGCCUGAACCAGCCAAGUCGCGUGAAGGAAGAAGGCUCUAUGGUUUGUAAACUUCUUUUAUCGGGGAGUAAAGUGAGGAACGUGUUCCUUUUUGUAUGUACCAUAUGAAUAAGCAUCGGCUAACUCCGUGCCAGCAGCCGCGGUAAUACGGAGGAUGCGAGCGUUAUCCGGAUUUAUUGGGUUUAAAGGGUGCGUAGGUGGGUAAGUAAGUCAGCGGUGAAAGUUUGUGGCUCAACCAUAAAAUUGCCGUUGAAACUGGUGAACUUGAGUAUAUUAGAGGUAGGCGGAAUGCGUGGUGUAGCGGUGAAAUGCAUAGAUAUCACGCAGAAAUCCGAUGGCGAAGGCAGCUUACUGGACUAUAACUGACGCUGAGGCACGAAAGCGUGGGGAUCAAACAGGAUUAGAUACCCUAGUAGUC
rnacentral:rRNA from 1 species